rnacentral:rRNA from 1 species
CUGAUCCAGCCAUGCCGCGUGAGUGAAGAAGGCCUUCGGGUUGUAAAGCUCUUUUAGUCGGAGAGAAAGAGUUGCAAUGAAUAAUUGUGAUUUAUGACGGUACCGACAGACAAAGCACCGGCUAACUACGUGCCAGCAGCCGCGGUAAU